UAGCAUUCUAGUAGUAGUCUUGAAAUUGAAGGAACUACUUGUCUUUGACCUCUUUCACAAAGAAGACAAUUUUUUCAGAGACAUUUAGCAAGAGAAGAAAGGAGAGGCAGAUGUGGCUUUUGAGUUUUGAAUCUUUCAGUCCAUCCACUAGAUGUCUCUCUUUUCUCCCCUCAUCUGUAAAUGACUCUAUUUCAAUUAAAUUUGCUGCUGUCAAAAGCAAGGUGGGUCUGAGUUAUGGAAAUAACACAUUUCAUGUUCCCAUUUAAAGUAUGCCAUUUUCAGCAACAUACCCAUGAUUUCAGUAAAAACAAAGAUGUUCCUUAGGCUGUGACAGUAAUUCAGUGGAAUUUAUUUAUUCAGCAGUAUCAAUUUGGAACCUUUGUAUGCUAAACACUUUUCAAGGUGUGUGGGGAUAUAAUAGGCAAAACAGACAUGUUUUUGCCUCCUGAAACUUUAAAAGAAUGUUCAAGCCACAGCAAAAUACAUUAAAACUUCAGUAUGAGAACCAUCAUGUAUAUUUUCGUGUUAAGGAAAGCCAGAAAAGGUAAGGGAUUGGUUAACAUUUUAAGGUUUUUUUCAUGCUUAAAAGUUCAGUUUUUAAUAGUACUUCCUAGUGUUCUUCAUGUAGGUUUCUUUAAGGUUAGACUUUGUACAUUUUCUCUUUAGUGAUACGGAUCAUUGAAAAGAUGCAAAGUUGGAUUGCAGAGUCAACAAAGAAAUGGAAGACAGAUUUCCUUCCCUUACUCUUAAGGGAGAGGCAUUGCUGACAUUUGUCAUCACUGCUGCCUCUGAACGUGUGUCUUAUGUGCCCUGAGAUGAAUGCCCAUUCUCCCAGACAUGGCUGAUCAUCAAGACGUGGAAGAACGCUUGCUACCCAGGUUGUGGUGCCUUGUUCUGGCAGCCCUGGCCAAUGAUCCUGAUGGGCACGAGGAUGAUGGAGAGGCACUUAGCAUGGCCACAGCUGACAAGCAGAGAGGUGGAGACGUCUCUGUAGAUGUCAGCACAGAGACCAGCACUGAGCACCGGGUGGGCCCAUCGCAGCACGGGACACCUACAGUGGGAGCCCGGACUAUGGGCAGUGACCUCUCCGACAUCAGGAAGAUGAGGCCUGACACAGAAAGUGGAUGCUGCAAGUCCCUUGAACUGGCCACACGCACCUGCAUCCUGGAAUCAGAGAUAAGACACGGGAGGCAAGGUUUCUAGGAAGGAAAGGGAGCGAUUUAAAUUCUCGCUGAGGUCGGAGCUGCCGAUAGCCGAUUCUUUCCUGAGAACAGGUUUCAACUUGGGGGAGGAGGUUGGGCAGGCAGAGCAGGAGGACCCUGAGGUGGCUCGGUG
ensembl:lncRNA